rnacentral:misc_RNA from 1 species
UCUCCGUUGGUGAACCAGCGGAGGGAUCAUUACCGAGUUUACAACUCCCAAACCCAAUGUGAACGUUACCAAACUGUUGCCUCGGCGGGGUCACGCCCCGGGUGCGUCGCAGCCCCGGAACCAGGCGCCCGCCGGAGGAACCAACCAAACUCUUUCUGUAGUCCCCUCGCGGACGUUAUUUCUUACAGCUCUGAGCAAAAAUUCAAAAUGAAUCAAAACUUUCAACAACGGAUCUCUUGGUUCUGACAUCGAUGAAGAACGCAGC